CUUUUCAGUUAUAAAAAGGUCUUCCAAUCUGAACAGACAAAGCUAUUCCAGCAUUUCUAUUUGUUUAAGAAAAUAGGUCUAAAUUGAUGAAACUAAUCAUUUUAUACUAAGUGCUCUUUUUAAAGACAAUUGCUGAUUGCCUGCCCCUUUUGUAGCUGUAGCUGAGCCCGAGAUGGUACAAAAUAACCAUCUUGCCAGUUGUCACAACUAUUUGCUCCUUCUUUAAUUAAACAUAAUAUAGAAAACAGUAUAAUUCACAUCUAAUUAGAAACCAACUUCUGUAGACGGUGAACUCUUUCCAGAACUGGCGUUAAGAUCACGUCUAACGAUUACAAAGUUGUUUAUCUUCUUUGCCGGCCUCGAUUUCAUGUCUGAACUCCCUGCACCCACUUCUUGAUUUUUUAAGAAGAGAUUCCUUGGUGCUGCCUCCUUCCUUUCCAAGAGGCGAUGAUGGUAAUGUUAGUGGAGGGAAAUCGCUGUAUCCAGGCUGAUUUCAUUAACAUGUGUCUCAUCAGGAUCCUGAGUCUCCCUUUGUGCUAGAACGAAAGCAGGUUUUUUCCACUCAGUGAAACAGAUAAUGAACCCCAAAAUGCGCUGAAUCACAAUGACUUAGCACUUUUCACCUUCGCCCAAUCACCAAGAAGGUUUCAAGUGAUUUGCGAGUCUAUUAAUUCGAUAUUAAUUUGCCAAGUCAUUCUACGCGGUAAAUCUUCUGCAGCCCGAGCUUUUGGAAAACCGUUUUGGAGCGAUAUAUUCCUCCUGCCUGUUUCACAGUCUUGUGAGGGAGGCGAUGGUCCCCCGCCCUCGAGAUACGGAACGUGGGAACAGAGGAAGAGCGAUUUUCUGAUGCCAGCCGGGGAGCACAGAAGCCUCACAGCUUGGCUUACUCAGCCAGCAUUCACUGGGCGCCUACUAAAUGCAGACGCUCUAGAUUCCGGGGCCUGAAAGCCCGAUGGUGGUCUCACGGGAGUUCCACUUCGACGAAGACGGACAAAGAGACGGACGGCCAGGCCACCGCCUAUCUGUGGUGCUGGUUGCUGCAAAUGCAAAAUCCUGGUUUGUGAGCCCCGACCUCCGAAGAAGAAAGGAGCUAUCUGAACCCAAAUGCUUCAUUAAGUGCUUUCCAGCUUUCCACCAGUUCAAAGGGCUCGGAGGGGACCGUCUGGCCCCUUCUCGGAGGACACGAAUGGAAGCCCGCUCGCCCAUAGGCACACUCACUUGCAGUUGGUGAGACGGACCCGCUCAGGUGGAGAGCCACUCAGAGGUGCGUUCAGGACCAGCCCAAGCGUCAACGCAUUCCGCAAGAGGGCGGUCCGGACUGCGGGUGCCACGUCAUCUCUGGCUUGGGUCACAGACCCAAAACAAGCCCACGUUGCCGUGGCCCCGUGCUCCUGAGGUACUUCUGGGGGGGACGCCGGCUUGGACAACGUUGUUUUGAUGACUUCGAUGAAGGUGGUGGAACUAAUUCCCACUCGAAUGGGUGGUUGUUUAUUUCUGCUUCGCGUGAAUCAGAGGUAAUUGUUUUGAAUAGCCUUUCAUGGCGGCUCUGUGUACCGGGGCCAUCUGGUGCCGAUGUCCCCGCUUCUCCACUUGUGGCUUUUAAGACACGCUUCCCUCUCCCACCGUGAGGCUGCUCUUCUGAUUCAGCCAUCGGUGGUUCACGGAGCUCACGUCCAAAGACCCCAUUCAGAGGCGAGCUGACGCGGACAGCUUUGGCCUCCAAAUUAGGAAAUAGUGAUUCCCGCCGUCAGCCAAGCGUUUGGGGAAGGAAGACGACAACAGCAAGGGCAACACUUGCUUGACAAACGCACAAGUGACCAUGUGACACAGGAGCUGAAUCGGUCAGGAGGAGGUCGAGGAGGCCGGGGGCUGGCACAGGUCGUGUUUGAAGGUCAAUCUUCAAGGGAUGGUAACGUGUAUAAAAUUCUUCCUAGUUUUCCCGAUUGCAUCAAUAUUUUGUUUCUGAAGGGAAUAAAGAUACCGAGUCUCAAAACAUAAA